rnacentral:snRNA from 1 species
ACCGAAGUUAUUCCACCGGUUC